GGCUUAGAGUUUGAUCAUGGCUCAGGACGAACGCUGGCGGCGUGCCUAACACAUGCAAGUCGAACGGAGUAUUUUGGCGGAAGUUUUCGGAUGGAAGCUGAUUUACUUAGUGGCGGACGGGUGAGUAACACGUGAGUAACCUGCCUCUCAGAGGGGGAUAACGUCUUGAAAAGGACGCUAAUACCGCAUGACAUCUCGUGACCGCAUGGUUGUGAGAUCAAAGGAGCAAUCCGCUGAGAGAUGGACUCGCGUCCGAUUAGCCAGUUGGCGGGGUAACGGCCCACCAAAGCAACGAUCGGUAGCCGGACUGAGAGGUUGAACGGCCACAUUGGGACUGAGACACGGCCCAGACUCCUACGGGGGGCGGCAGUGGGGGAUAUUGCACAGUGGGGGAAACCCUGAUGCAGCAACGCCGCGUGAAGGACGAAGGUCUUCGGAUUGUAAACUUUUGUCCUAUGGGAAGAAGAAAGUGACGGUACCAUAGGAGGAAGCUCCGGCUAACUACGUGCCAGCAGCCGCGGUAAUACGUAGGGAGCAAGCGUUGUCCGGAUUUACUGGGUGUAAAGGGUGCGUAGGCGGAAGAGCAAGUCAGUAGUGAAAUCUGGGGGCUUAACCCCCAAACUGCUAUUGAAACUGUUCUUCUUGAGUGGAGUAGAGGUAGGC
rnacentral:rRNA from 1 species